CAGACCUUGGUUUGCAGACAUGGCAAACUACAAAGCCACGGGAGUCAUUCCAGAGGAGUACACUUGGAAUCAGAGGAAGAAGUUCCUACACGACGCACGCUUCUAUGUUUGGGAUGACCCCCACUUGUUCAAAGCAGGGGCAGAUAAUGUAUUGAGAAGAUGUGUCACAAAGGAAGAAGCACGAAGCAUUCUUUGGCACUGUCACAGUUCAUCAUACGGCGGACAUCAUAGCGGGGACAGAACAGCAGCAAAAGUGUUACAAUCAGGUUUUUUCUGGCCCUCUCUUUUUAAAGAUGCUUACGAGUUUGUGCGUUGUUGUGAUAGAUGCCAAAGAACAGGGGGGAUAUCACGGAGAAAUGAGAUGCCGUUGCAGAACAUCAUGGAGGUGGAAAUAUUUGACUGUUGGGGCAUAGACUUCAUGGGACCCCUGCCUUCGUCAUACGGGAAUAUUUACAUCUUGGUAGCAGUUGACUAUGUCUCCAAGUGGGUGGAGGCCAUAGCUACGCCAAAAGACGAUGCCAGGGUUGUAAUCAAGUUUCUAAAGAAGAACAUUUUCUCCCGCUUCGGAGUCCCACGAGCCUUGAUCAGUGAUGGAGGAACGCAUUUCUGCAACAAUCAGUUGAAGAAAGUCCUGGAGCACUAUAAUGUCCGACAUAAGGUGGCCACACCUUAUCAUCCUCAGACGAAUGGCCAAGCAGAAAUUUCUAACAGGGAGCUCAAGCGAAUCCUUGAGAAGACAGUUGCAUCAUCCAGAAAGGAUUGGGCCUUGAAGCUCGAUGAUACUCUCUGGGCCUAUAGGACAGCGUUCAAGACCCCCAUCGGUUUAUCACCGUUCCAGCUAGUGUACGGGAAGUCAUGCCAUUUACCAGUAGAGUUGGAGCACAAAGCAUAUUGGGCUCUCCGAUUGCUUAACUUUGACAAUAAUGCAUGCGGGGAAAAAAGGAAAUUGCAGCUUCAGGAGUUAGAAGAGAUGAGACUGAAUGCCUAUGAAUCGUCCAGAAUUUACAAGGAAAGAACAAAGGCAUAUCAUGAUAAGAAGCUGCAGAGGAGAGAAUUCCAGCCAGGACAGCAGGUAUUGCUCUUUAACUCAAGACUAAGGCUGUUUCCAGGUAAGCUGAAAUCCAAGUGGUCUGGGCCGUUUAUCAUAAAAGAAGUUAGACCUCAUGGAGCAGUGGAAUUGGUGGACCCUAGAGAAGGGAGCUUCGAGAAGAAAUGGAUCGUCAAUGGCCAGCGCUUAAAGCCGUAUAACGGAGGACAAUUAGAGCGAUUGACGACCAUUAUCUAUUUAAAUGAUCCUUGAAAGAGCCUACUGUCUAGCUAAGGACAAUAAACUAAGCGCUGGUUGGGAGGCAACCCAACAUUUAGUGUAAAAAUGUAGUAUUUUGUUUCUGUUCAAAAAAAAAAAAAAAAAAAAAAAAAAAAAAAGCCCAACAGGUACAGAUAGCAAAAGGAGGGGUGCCAAUAGCAGAAAUCAAGUGGGCUGCACGAAGAGCCGCGCUUAGCGCGAGACCUCGCGCUAAGCGCCCAGGUACGUUUUUAAAUUUCAAAAUACGAGGGAAUGCCAAAGGUCAGAGCGCCUGCGGAGCGCUUAGCGGCUACCUCCCGCUAAGCGCAUACACCAUAAUUGCUGGGCAGUUUUCGAAAACUGCCCAACGCCUCGGUUGCCUCCUUUGUUUUUAAUUCGGAUUUUUACCCAGCAUUUCUUCUCUUCCCUUCUUCCCUCUGCCUUUCUUCCUUUCCUCUCUGCAUUCUCUCUUUCUCUACUUGCCGAUAUCUGUCCCUGUGCUAUUUCACGCGGAUUUCAUAGGUAAGACAUGGUUUUGUACAUAGGUUAACCUAAUCUGCAGGUAUCAUCACGCUAAGCCUUGCGCAUAGGCUUAGCGGGAGCAAACCAAGUGAAGAACAACACGAGGAGCGCGCUAAGCCGCUGCAAGUCACAGGAGCUACCACGAAGCGCUCGCUUAGCCGCACUGUCGCGCUAAGCGCGCUCAACUGUAUCAGUGAACGCGCUAAGCGAGUGCGAGCGGCGCUAAGCGCGUGCCAGCAGCAGCGCGCAGGGUGGCGCCAAGCGCGAGGCUGGGCCUUAGGGCCACCAGUCCUCGUGCUUGCUUUCUGCACCCCCAUUCUUUUUCCCUUCACCCCCUUCUUCUCUACUUUCUGCACCCCCUUCUUUACUAUUUCCACCCCUCAUUUGUUUACUUUUUGCACCCGCACUAAUUACUAACUGCAAUCUGUUUUGCUGUUUUUGUGGUUUUUGUUUUUUUUUCAGAUGGCUUCUCGCAAGCGCCGUGCCGUGCCCACACCAGGGGAAGCGUCCAACUGGGACACUUCCCGCUUCACAUCUGAGAUUGCCUGGCACAGGUACCAAGACAACAUUCAGCUCCGGAACAUCCUUCCGGAGAGGAAUGUUGAAUUGGGACCCGGUAUGUUUGACGAGUUCCUCCAGGAACUCAGGAGGCGCAGAUGGGACCAGGUGCUGACUCACCUUCCGGAGAAGCGGAUUGACGUGGCUCUGGUGAAAGAGUUCUAUUCGAACCUUUAUGAUCCAGAGGACCACAGUCCACGAUUCUGCAGGGUGCGAGGACAGGUCGUUCGUUUUGAUGCUGACACCAUUAACGACUUCCUCGACGCCCCGGUUAUUUUGGAGGACGGGGAAGAGUAUACAGCAUACACCAAAUACCUCAGCACUCACCCCGAUCCUGACACCAUCGCGGCCACACUGUGUACUCCAGGGGGGCGCUUUGUCCUUAAUGCUGAUGGUCUCCCCUGGAAGCUCCUGAGGAAGGACAUGACGACACUUGCUCAGACAUGGAGUGUCCUUUCUUACUACGAUCUUGCGCCCACUUCUCACACUUCUGAUGUUAAUCUUGACAGGGCCCGCUUGAUCUACGGUUUGGUGAGCCGCAUGGACAUGGAUGUGGGCAGCUUUAUAUCACAGCAGAUCAGCCAGAUUGCCCAGUCCAGUACCUCGAGGCUCGGGUUCCCGGCGUUGAUUACAGCGCUGUGUGACAUUCAGGGGGUGGUUUCUGACACCCUGAUCUUUGAGUCACUCAGCCCUGCGAUCAACCUAGCCUAUGUGAAGAAGAACUGCUGGAACCCCGCCGACCCAUCGAUCACUUUCCCUGGGCCUCGCCGCACACGCACCAGAGCUUCAGCAUCAGCUUCCGAGGCCCCUCUUCCUACCCAGUCUCCGUCUCAGCCAUCCCAGCGACCGCGACAUCCACCUGCUUCCACCUCAGCAUCCAUGGACAUGCAUGGGCAGAUGCUGAGGUCCCUUCACGUUGGACAGCAGCUCAUCAUGGAGAAUAUGCAUAGGCUGUCCCUACACCUGCAGAUGGAUCCCCCGCUCACCACUCCAGAGGCCUAUCGUCAGCGAGUCGCCUGGCCAGGAGACCAGCCCUCCACUGACAGGGGGGAAGAGCCUUCUGGAGCCGCUGAGGAUCCUGCAGUCGAUGAGGACCUCAUUGCUGACUUAGCCACCGCUGACUGGGGCCCAUGGGCGGACUUGGGCGGAGGCAGUUGAUUUUUCUUGAUGUUUUCCUUUUAUUUUCUGAUGUUUCUUUUAUGUUUUGUUUUCUUUUGUGUUUGGUGGUCUGUUUAGGUAUUAAAAAGAAGUAGUAGUAAUAAUAUGAGAGAUUUAGCAUUUGUUUUCUGAAUAAUAAUUGCAUGAUAACUUGAGCAGUCAUAAUUUUUGAGCUUGUUCUGAAAGGUUGAAACACUUGAGAUGCCACUAGUCCUUGGAAACAUUGGUUCUGGAAGCACGAGUCAGGUCAGGAAGUGGAACAUGAAUAACACAAGGUGGGAAGGAUAGUCUGAUGGAACAAGGUCAUAACUGGUAUGCCGUAUAUUUGCUUUACUUCCGGUGAGAGUGUGAACUUAAUUGUGAGAGAAAACGCCUGUUUUUAAGUUCCUGGUUUUGCAUCACUCUUGGAUUGUUAGAAUAGUUACUUAAGGUGGAAAUGAUCAAGGCUAUGUUUGUUAUAUCUAGCUACUUAGCCAAAAAGCCAACCCGACAUCAUUUUUUCCCUUGCACCCAUGAUUGAGCCUAUAUAUCAUAUUAUUUUAUUCUGAAUUAACCCUUAAGCCAAUAAAAAAGAUAAGUCCUACCCUUUAGGAUGAUAAGAGAGCAAAAAUGGGUUAUUAAGGUCUUAAUUUGGGGGAUUUUGGAAAAUGGGUAGCUAAGACAAUGGUACAGCAUGUAGUAAGACACCUCUUAUAAACUAGAAGCCCGAAAAAAAAAAAAAAAAAAAUCAUGAGUAAAAUAAAGGGCAGAAACAAAGAGCAGAGAGGUGUCAAGAGAAAAGUGUUGGGGGGAAUAAAAGGGUUAAGAAGAAUGCAUCGGAAGUAUUAGAAAUUUUUGCUCUCUUAAUCCUAAUUUGAAUUUUCAAGAAAAACCAUGAUUUUUGUGAGCCAAGCCCAAUACAAGCCAAUAAAGUCCUUAGUGAUCCACCUGAAGGUAACUAAAGAUAACUAUACUUGAGAGGAAAUGCAAAACUUUGGAAUCUUACUUGCAGGUUGUUAGAAAAUUGCAGACACUAAACCAUACACUUGUGAGCAGAGGAAAACACCAGCCUUGUGAGGAAAGUAAGGCAAGCCAGAUGUGAUCGAGAUUCCAAAGGACUGACUAACCACUUGUGUGUUUUAUGCUUUCAUUUUGAGAUGUUGACAGAUGCGGAAAGGACCACUGGAAGAAGGAGGAACUAAGGCCAUUGACAGUGUUGAAACACUCAGAACUUGUUUGAAAAUUUAUUUUUUGGUUUGCUUGGGGACAAGCAAAGUUUAAUUUGGGGGAUUUUGAUAACUGCUAAAUAAUUGUGAAUUUAUAGGAGUUAAAUAGUCAAAUUUUGGCUUAAAAUUAAUUAUUUAGCAGUUAUUUGUAAUUAAAAGUGAGAAAAUUAAUUUAAAUUGAAUUUCUGGCUGCAGAUACGAAAAAUAAGGUUGCAUUUAGCAAAAGUGGCACAGAAAGGAAAAAAAAAAGAAAAACUUCUGAAGCAGGCCCAGUCCAAUAGGGGCGCUCAGCGCGCAUCAGGCGCUAAGCGAGCAACUAACUGGAGGCGCUGGGCGUGGCGGAAACCGUUACGCGCGCUAAGCCAGCCAGGCGCCCAGCGCCCGAUCCAACAGACGUACAGGCGCCCAGCGCCCGAUCCAACAGAAGCACCGGCCCAGCGUGCAUGGCGCGCCCAGCGCGCGAUCUGAACGCGCUAAGCGCGAGGUGUGGCGCUGAGCGCAACUACGAAGGCCCGUAAGCCCACUUCAGCCACUAUAAAUAGAGAGGCAGUCCCAAGGAAAUUUCAUCCCAUCUCAGAGCAUCACUCUCAGUACCUCAAGCCUGAGUUUUCUUCCCCCUCUAUAUUCUUUGUUUUGUUUUGUUAGCCUAGCCUUUCUUUCAUCCCCAGUUGUAAGCCCUCAAUGGCCAUGAGUGGCUAAACCCCUAGCUAGGGCCUGGCAGGCCUAAAAAGCCAACGAUGUACACUGGGCUUCAAGAGUUAUCAAUGCAAAAGAAUUUAUUCCAGGUUUUUCUGUUCUAUUUCUUUUCUUUUAUUCUUGCAUUCAUUCUUAAAUCUCUUUUUGGGUUUUAAUCGCUCGGGAGAGGGUAAUUCUCAAUAAUAUUUAAGAUUCAAUGCAUGCAUCAGUUUUAGGGGUUAAUCGCUUGGGAAAGGGUAACACCUAAUAGAACAUCUAAAGAAAAGAAUCAUUGGGUUAGCAUUGCUAGGCAUAGAAUGAUAACUCACUGCCCAUGCAUUUAAGCAACAUCUAGAACUUAAUCUUAAUGCAUUUUAAUUAUUGAAUCUUCGCAAAGGCAUUUGGGAGAUAGGUAGUUAAAAUAGGCUUGCCAACGUGAGGCAUCAGGGGCAAGCAGUCAACAGAUGUGGGUAGAACUAACACCAUUUCAUUGAUAAUGAAUAUCAUACUUACAUGCAUCGUAGGCCAAUUGGGUUUGUCUGGUCUUGGCAUUUCUAUCAAUUGUUUUCCCUUUACUCAUUUAUUUUAGUAAUAGCACUCUUUACUAUUCCUACUUUCAUUUCUACUUUACUACUUUACUCCCACUUACAAAUUGAGAGGUAUUGAAAAGUGCAAUAAAAUCCCUGUGGACACGAUACUCGGACUUCCGAGCUUUACUACUUGUCACGAUUUGGUGCACUUGCCAAAGUCUUAACAAAAAAACACAACAGAACUAUAUUCUAAAGAUAAAGAAUAUAUUCAACUCUUUAUUUGUUUUUAAUUAUUAUUUUUCUAAUUAUUGCUUUUUUUAAUAUUUUAAAUAAACAAAUUGUUCGGUAGUACUUUAAGAUAUCUUUAAAAGUUUUAGUAAUUAAGACAUAAUUACACUUAAAACUCUUUUCAUUUCUAAAAAAAUGGAUUAAUUGCUAAUAAUUAAUUUUUUGAUAAAUUAUUAUAACUACGGCAUCAUUUAAGGUCUACUACUUUAAUCUAAAUGAUUGAUCAAAUAAUGAAAAAUCUCAUUGCAUUCACAUAUAUGGAAGAUUAUUUAAGGGGAAAAUCCAUGAACAAUCACAAACAAGAUUAAUUUAUGACUUAGUGAAUUGGGUGACACUCUUAAUUUUUUACUCAAAUACAAAAAAAAAACUAUCACCUUGUUAUUAUUAUUGACAAAAAAAGUUUACCAUCUUAAUUUAUAAGAUUGAUUAAGUAACAUAAGGUUUCAUCGUAUUUAUAUGUGUAGAGUAAUCUAUUUAACAAGAGAAUCUACGAGCGAUUGUGGGUAGGAUUAGUAUGUCGUAUAGUGGAUUGGGUAAAAAAAAAUCUACCACCUUAUUAUCAUUAUUAUUAUUUAUAUAUUUAUAAAAAAAGUUUACCUACUUAUAAGAACAUGCAUGUAAUUUAUUUAUUUUUAAUUUUUGGUCUCUCCCCGCCCCCUAAUUUUCCUAAAAUAAACAAAUUGGAACGAGGGCCCAAAAUUUUCCCAGAGCCCAUGUCACCGAACCCAAAGACGACGAACUGAAACUUGAGGAAGAAGAGAAAAACAAGACCCUCUCUUCUUGUGUCUGAUCGAAGAAACCAACCAGUCAGUCAUGAAUUCGUGUUCGUGAUUUGCGCCACGCUACACACACUUACUUCGAUUUGAAUCAUCACUCUCUUCACUCCUCUCUCCAAGUGCUUCCCACAAUGAUGUCCCCGAACCGCGUCUCAGAGGAUCGGGGCACCCCACCACAACAUUUCAGGUAAAAUUUUCUCCUUUUCGAAAAAUUUAGCCAUAAUCGAUCCUGGGUAUGGACCAUUUUUUCAUAUCAUUAAAGUGUUUGAUUUCUGAGGCUAUUUCUUUGUGUUCAAUUGGGACUGUGUCUAGGUGCAUUGACGUGUGCCAAUGCUUUUGCUCUUUCCUUGAAGCUGUGUCUCAAUGUGUUAGUUGUUUUAGGAACUGGGUUGGAGCUAAUGGGUCAUCUUUUUCGAUAGUUAUUGCAAGCAUUGUUUACUUUGAUUCAGUGCUUAUUUGUGUGGAGGGAAAAUUUGAAGUUAACACGAGAGCAAAAUGCAAUGCCCUCAGUGGUUGCAAUUUAAUCUAUAACUUAUUAGGUGUGUGUUUGGUUCAGCUUAUUUAAAGAAAUAAUCAGGUUCUUGUGAUUAGUAGCUUUUUGAGAGAAUAUUUGAGAAGUAUUGAAAUAAGUAAUUACUUUUGAGAAAUAAUCUCUUACCAAAUAUUUACUCCAUACUUGGAGGGAGAUUGCUGCCCAUAGUGGUGCUGCUCGUGAGUAGGAUUGCCUUCCUUGGAAGAUGCAUUGGUGAUCUGUAUAAAAAGAAGUAGUAUUUUAAUUUAAUCCAUUGGCAUGUGUUAAAGAAACAAUAUAAAACUCAUUUUUGUCUUGACCUAAUUGUUUAAGCUUUUGAGAUAGUUAUGAUACGGUAUUGGAGUCUUUAGGAUCAAGUGGUCUAGAGUUUGACCCUUGUUGUCCCUAUUCUUCUAAUAAAAAGUUGAAUUUGCUCUAAGCCGAAGGUGGGUCCAUGGGUAUUAUCCAAGCAUCAAGCGUAAAGGGCUCUUGCGUAAAGGGGCAUCUUAGAGAUUAGAGAUGUAAUACAAAAGCAUUCAUGUGUCUCUACCAUACAACUUAAGCUUUUGUGAUAGUUGAUUUAGGAUAGCGUCUAUGAUAAUUAACUGAUUAUACUGUUUUAUUGAUCAUGUAUUGUGGCAUUUUACUUUUAGUGGUUAUACAUAUACAAAAAAAUUUCUCAGUUACAUUCUACUAUAACGUAUUGGUUAGUGAUUGAUUACCUCUGUUGGAUAUUUAUAGAAGAGGGUUGUGUAUUGAAAGUUUUAACUUUGUUCACUCUUAUUGUGCUGAUUUUAUAUUUCGAUUUGUAGACACACACCCUUUCAGAUAAUCCAUAUUGUUGCAAAUUUCAUGAGGAUAUGGUCAAUAUACUCGAUGUACCGCUACUUCUUGCAGACUGGUGCUUCUGUUGUUCUUUUUCUGUUUGCCUGCCUGGCCCCAGCGUCCAUCCUAUUUUUGAUUUUGCAAAAGCCUUGGAAGGGCAGGCCUCUUUCUAAUACACAGGUGAAUUUAAUUUAUACUCUCUGAAGAGAGUAAUAAGAAAGAAGCAUUAAAUUUGACAUAGAAGUUAUCAUGAAUGCACAUUCCUUAAUAGUACCAUUUUUCUUUUCAGAUUGUUCCUUCUAUAAUAAAUGGUGGCAUAACAGCACUGUAUCUGGUCUUGUGGGGAAAGGGACUGAAAUCAUGUGGGCCAGUUAGGUUGGUUUUUAUAUUCUGAAAGAAAAUUUCAGUUGAUAACUUUAAUGUGUCAAGUGCUCAGUCUUAAUUGCUUUGAGUUAUGUGGCAUCAUGGCUGAUGCUCAGUUGUGUAAAUCACUGAUUUCCAAUUUGUCAUAGUCCAAGUCCAAUUGAAUCAUUGAUGUCAUCCUACCAUUAUAUAGCUAUUUCUUGAUCAUGUUAGUAUCGAGGUGAAUGGUGCUUUGAUAUUAAUGAGAAAGUAUUUUUUAUUGCUAUAUGAACUUAAUGCAAUCAUUGUUUUCUUAUUAAUUUAGAGCAAUAUUGGCUGAGUAUUCUGGUGCUGUUCUUGGAGUACUUUCUGCAGUGUUAUAUGGCAGGAGAGGUCAUUUGUGGAAAAAGGUAACCCUUUUAAGAUACUUAUGUUGUUAGGUAUAUUAUACAAGUUACACCAUGAAACCAUGUGCUCAAAUCGGUUUAAAUACCUAUUCCAUAAGAAUGUUUUUGCAAUAUUUCUCCUUUCUACUUUAUCUGCAUUGAUAAAUCUCUUGUGAAGUUGUAACUUGUGACUAUUUCCUGAAUUAUUUUACCUUUUUCAAUGAAGAUCACAUAUUUUUCUUUCCCCUCUCCUUAAGCCUUUGUCUGGUUGUAGCUGUUUUGGAGGAUCACCUAUCUCCCCUAGUUGUAGUUUCCUUCUUUCUCUAAAUUGAAAACAUUUUUUUUUGUAUAAAAAACUAUAUAAAUUGUUAAGUCUUCUUUGAUAAAAUAAUAAUAAAAAAUUAAGCCAUAGUUUUCAAUCUUGGAUAGCAGUGCAUAGUGGCCAACUUUGUAAAUACUAUAGCGGUUUUUUCAAAAACAAAAAAAGAAAACCCAAAAAUUAAGAAAUUAUUGAUACUAUCUUUGGGUCUAUAAGAAACACAUUGUGUUUUAAUUGUUUUUCUUUGGCCCUAAUUAUAAAGAAACAAUGACUAGUUUUCAAACUUACUCAGGGUUAAAUUUCUUUUAUACCUUAAUUUAUUGUUAACUCUAUUUCCUAGGCACUCAUUCAUUGGAUUAUGAGUACUGACAUUAAAUUUGACCAUCACUUACAACAUUUGAACUUAAGGGCAUUUUUUGGAAUAUACUUGAAUUCAUGGUAGUAUUAAAUGUGACCAUCACUUUCCUUGGUCUUGAUAUUUGUUCUAUGUUUCUUAUAUAUAUGACUGGAGGUAUUAUAUAUAAGUCACUUUUUACACUCAAUCACCAUCAAUCUAGGAGCAAUAAGAAAAUAGUAAUGAAGUAAAAAAUGAUAGAUGAUGGUGAAAUUAAUAGAAAAAGAACAUAAACAAAUUAGAUAAAAACUAUUAGAAUGUGAACAAGUAAGUUUAAAUGAAGAAGAAAGUACGGAACAUGAGGGAAAAAAUGGUCCUGUAAAGUGUGAAGGAACAAAGGUCAAAACAGAGUUAACUUUUUGAGGGUUGUUCUAGGAAGAAGGGUUUCAAAUCCUAUUAAUGUUUCUUGAGCAAAAAAAGCAUUAGAUAAUGUGGAAGAAGGGUUGGUCUAGGAACAAAGGUCAAAACAGAGUUAACUUUUUGAGGGUUGGUCUAGGAAGAAGGGUUUCAAAUCCUAUUUAUGUUUCUUGAGCAAAAGAAGCAUUAGAUAAUGUGGAAGAAAUCACUAUUUUAUUCAGGAGUAAAAAAGGGUUUUUGAAGCCUAUACCAUGGUAGCGCCGCUAUAGCAUGUGAAUUGCUGCUGUUACGGUUGCAAUGACUGGUAUUGAAAAUCGCUCCACUAUUUGAAUCCCAUACUAGCCCAGGGUUGCUAUGCUCUGCUACUGCACUAUAGCUCACUGACUACUAUGAUUUAAGCCAGGUUGUACUAUGAUAAAUUAAAUAAUGUGAUUUCAAUUGCUGCUUGUGAUUAAUGUGUUUGAAACAUAAGUUUGGAUCUUCUCUGAUCCAGUGGAUACUUUCUUAUUUUGAACCAGAUAGGCGGCCUUAUUGCCAUGUUGGCAUCCUUAUACCUGUUAUCAGAAGGAUGGGCUACAGCAACAUAUUCUCCAUUCUAUAUCCUCAGUCAGACUGUGUUAUUUUGUUUCUUAAAUUUACUAAGUUUACUGCUAAAAUAUCUUUUGCUCCAUGUGUUCUUUUUCUUUUCAGUCUAGUUUUUCAUACUUUUUAUUUUUUCCACAAGCGUUGUAAACUUAACUGGAAUAUACCAUGGGAAGAUAGAGAUGAUUCUGAGGCUAAAACUGAACCAGUUUUGGGCCUGAGGCAUAUGUUAGUCCCUAUUAUUGCUGGUAUUCUAUCUGCGCUCAGGAGAGUGAUUGCAAGGCGUGUUUCAAUCAAGGUGGAAACAUUUAUGUAAUUUGAACUUUAUACUUUGACUUUGGUGCAAGGUGUUUUGUGUGUAUCCAUAACCCCUGGACAUUUUGUUUUCAGAAUCAACUUAAAAGGCGACUCCAUGCUUUAACUAUUGCUUCUGCAACAUGUUUUAUGUUUCCUAUUGCCAUGUGGGACAUGAUCAUAGUGAGUUCUAUGUCAUUGUCACUUUUACAUUUAUGUGGAAUUCUUAUAUUGUUCUGUGGUUUUUGCAUGAUUGACAUUUGACAAUUUUUGUAACCCUCUUGUCCCCUCUCUUCUCAUGUCCUUCAGGGAUCAUCAUCUGAAUCUGAUAGUAACGCAAAGCUUCCAUUUUCUGCUUGGGCCUUCUUGAGCACUAUUCUGUUUGGAAAUAUUGUGAUAUUCUAUGCUGACAGUAUUGCAGAGGAGAGGUAUGCCAUGAAUGAUGAUAAUCUUACCAUAAGUAAAGGCUAAGUGAGUAAUGGGAAGGCAUUUAUUCAUUUUGAAAUUAGGUUUCUUAUGCUCUUUAGAUUAUCAGACAAGGUUCUAUAAAAUAACUAUUAACAAAUGGCAUAACCAUUUGCAGUAAUAUUCUCCCCAUUCUCAUUGAAACAAUUAUUCAAUUUUCAGUUUGAUGAAAUUAUAAUUCCUCGUCUAGAAAUAAAUUAAUUGACUUAUAUCUGACUUCAUCUUGUAUAUGAAAAAAGUUGGAUAAAAAUUAGGUCAAAUUUAAAUCCAAGAUUGAUUUGGUAAGAUCUGAAUUGUAUUUGAAUUUUUAAGUUCCGUAUGGUGUAAGAUAAUAUAAUAUAGUGCAUGACAUUUUGAACUCUUUGUUGUUGUGAAGUAGCUGAAAAUUCAUACUUUUCUUUUUGUAGAUUGCACAUGGUUUUCUCCUCACCAAGGCAUUUAGCAGCAGCUGGUGCGUGCAUCAUCAUAAUGGAGAAAGUUUAUAAGAUGGAUUUUUCUCUCACAGGAUUCACGAUUUGCUGCUUAAUAUUAGGUUUUGGUAUGUUUAGCAGUUAGUUUUGAAUAUUAUUAUUCUCUUUAAAUUAUAUUUUUCAUGGAUUGUUUCUAGAACACUAUAACUGAACGAGUAGCUGAUAAUUUUUUGUCAUGCCUUACAAAGUUUAAGGGUGUGUUUGAUUUCUAUUUUCAAAAACUGUUUUCAGUUUUUGAAAAACAAAGAAAAUAGAUGCCCACACCCAGCUCAUGCCUUAUGACAUGCAACACCACUCCCAGUGACCUACACUCUUGAGGUAGGACUAAAAACAGAAAAAGAGAAUGAGAAAGACCAACUUUUGGAAACAAUUUUCAAAACUUAAUAGAUUUUGGACAAGAAAUCGAUUGCCACUAGCAUGAAAAUAUUUUAGAAAACAGUUUUUGAAACCAAAAAGUGAGAAGGAAAUCAAACAGACCCUAACUUGUUUUUAUGAUACUUGGCUUCUCAGAUUCUAUAUACAUUGGUUAUAUAUCCUCUGGAUUUUUUAAAUGACAUUCAUAUUCCAGAAAAAGGGUAAAUCUUUUUUAAACUCAGCUUAUCUUGAAGCAGUUCAUGUUGAAUUCUUGAACUUCACUGUUUUUUUAUUGCCUUUUCUUACUAGUAAUAAUUUGAUUUUUAAGGACUUUCCAAAAUUAUCGCUAUUCACUACCAGUCAACUACAUUUUCCUGUCUUCUAGAAUUGAGUUUGUAUUUCUGAGAGAGCAAAUAUACUGAUUACUGAAUUAAGGCAUUCUUGUUUCUGUUUUUCUCUUUUCGUGGUUAAUAAUCUUAAAUUCUCAUUGUAAUGGAAUAAUGUAGGGAUAUAUGAAGCAACUUCAUUGGAGCGCAAUAGAAAAGAUUCUAUCCGAAAUUCAGAUUUAUCCAAUGGAGAAUUUGAUAAUCAAAUCCAGAUGUCACCACUACCUACUUGAAGUAUGUGUAUUUUAUUCCUUCAAAUUAUGAAAUGUAAAUUUAUUGCCAAUUGUUUAUUUGGUUCAUUUGUGUGAGUGGGUAUCUAUGCAUUCUGCUCUGUUCAAUUGACACCUACCAGCAAUUUUCCAGAUGAGUAUUGAGUAUCAAUAUUAUACUACUGAUUCUAAUAUAUGGUGAGCCUGAUUACCAGUUUUUGCAAUGUCUUUUUGAUAUUUUGAAAGCAAUAGUCCUUAAACAUCUAAAAUUAUAUAGGGAUAUAAGUACAGAGAAAUGUUUUGAAUUGAAAGACAGCAAGAAAUAUGCAUGAUAGAGACUGGAAUAGAAGAUUAGAAACAGAUUUUUCUUGAGUAAUCCCCUAAUUCCCAAUCUCUGCUCCAAUGUAGAACAGUAUCAAGAAUAUAGUACUGUGUACAGAAACAAUAUGAUUUCCCUGGAAAUUUAAGAGGUUCAGGCCUCUCCUACAUUUGGUGCCCAAUACUCGUACACCUUUCUUACUUAAUUAUAGGCAAUCUGCCUUUAUUAUUCUAUCUCGGCCCAAGAAACUAACAAAUAUCAACUACUAAUUAACUAACUAAAUUCUAAUAGAUAUUGACAAUUAUUGGCUAUCUAACUAUGAACCGUUUUGGAAAGAUUGUAGUUGUUCAUAGAUGCCAUGAUGCACAUAGGUGGGAAAUGUAGAAGGUUUAUUGUGGGAGAGGGAGAGUAUAGGUGUGCUUUCCUCAAGGAAGGUUGCACAUGGAGCUGAGUGCAUGCUUUUAUUUAUACAGAAGAGAUUGCUCACCUUUUUGUGAGUGCUAGGUGUGCCCUAAAGCUUUUGGUGGUUUUGGUCCAGGAGGGUAAACUUUAGUGGCAAUGUGCAAUCCAUGCUGUUAUGUGGUGCAUUUUGUCUCAGGGUGUAUCACUUGUGCUUGUUGAUUUGGAAUAAAGAUUAAGUAUUAGCUUCUAUUGUCUUUUUUAAGAGGUUUGUCUAAAUGAAAUACGGUGGGAUUGGGCACCUUUGUUUGGUGUUUUUACUUUUUCUUUGUUUUACUUUCGCCUUUUAUUUGAGAAGGAUGGAGGAUCCUCUAUUCUCUAAUUUCUUCUCUCCAUGUUUAUGAAUUUCUUCUUUUAUCAAGAAAAAUAUAAUUACAUUUACAGCUAAAAAAACCCUGAUUCUUUUCAACUAGUUGAAGAACUUUGUUAUAUUCAACUUAUUGAUUUCAACUGAUGUCCAUACAUAUCAUCCGUUGCAAUUUCACAGGAGAUUACUUUCUUCCAUGGCUAGUCAAUUUUCAGUGUCAGUAGUAUUAGUUGAUGUGAAGAUAGUCUGAAAGAUUUAGGGUCUGUCUGAUAUGUUAAAAAAUGAGGGACAGGAUAAAGUUCCACAUUUGAUUUUAAAAAUGGUUGUAGGACAGAACAAAAAAGGUUGUAAAGGACAGAACAAAACAUAAAAUUUUGUUACUCACUAAUGUGAGAGAUAACUUUUUGUCCCCAUGAUUCAAUUAAAAGGACAAAAUUAUCCUUCUCAUUAUCCCAUGUCUCCCCCUCCUCUUUUUCUUUUCCUCAACUUCUCUGGUUCAUUCUUCAUGUUACAGGGAUAGUUUCAUGUUAAUUAAUGGUUAUCAAAUCCAGAAUUGCAAUUGCACUCAUUUAUUUGAAAGCCAUAUUAGUAUACAAGUGUCGUAGCACUCAGAGACCUUAAUUUGGCUUCAAUUGGGUUUUAGGCAAGGAACAAAACAGGAAUGAUAAUGUUGAUGAAUAGGCCAAUGAAAUCAAUGGUGUGUGAAAGAGGUUAAGGUCAAAUGGUGUGCACGAGGUUGGUGGUAGCGGGCAGUGUGAUGGUUGUUGUGACAGGUUUGAUGUGUCAGUAUACUGUAUAGAUUAUUGUGGACGAUGUUGUUUUCUGAUGCCAUUUUCAAUAUCUUGGAAUUGAGUGAGAUGAAUGAAGGGUAUUUAAAUAAAUUUCAAAUAAUUUUAUUUAGGUUGCCCGGUGCUCAUCAAACCAAGACAGGAUAUAAAGUUGUCCAGUAACUUGAUUAUUUUACUGUCCUGUUCUCCUUGUCCAGAACAAUUAGAACAGAACAGUACAAAUAAUGUAAAAGGACUCAAAAACAACUACAUAUUAUAUGGACCAAAAAGUUAUUUUAGCCUAAAUUUCAAUUUGACUGAUUGCUAUGCACUUUUUCCUUGAGAAUGAAGAGGUGAUGUGAAUAAUCUUAAUAACAUUGCUUGUGUUUAUCUGAAGGAAUAUUAAGUUAGUUGUGUUCAGUGUUGGUACACAAAGAUAUGUUGGACUCUGUUGACCCAUAAUUUCAUUUUGUGCAUUAGUUGCAGACAAGCUGUUUUCCGCUGUGAAGAUGUGUUAUCCGCCACUUUUGGGAAGCUCCAGCAUCUAGUUUUCUAUACACCUAAUUCUUGAUGAUUGAUCUGAUCUGAUAUGAUCCUUGGGGGCCUGAGAAGCACUUUUAACCUACCGAGUUCAUUAUUUUGCUUCCUACAAGAUCAUUACUAGUCUGGUAGUUUAUUGUGUAGUUUAGGAGUGAUUUUCUAUCAUGAAGAAAAAGAAGCAUUAUUCGUCGUCAUGGUAGAAGUUCUUUGAAUCUUGUUAUAAUUGAAUCACCCAUAUGAGCUAACUGCACAUUAUAAUGAAAUUAUUGAAUAUGCCAAACUGUUGGUUAUUCCUUGUAUGUUAUUUUCCCCCCCUUCCCAUUUCUCUUAUUUAUUUUUUUAUUUUUUUUGUCCUUUUUUGUUUCCGUUAUUCUUUUUUGUUUCAAUUAUUUCCUUAAAAGUAUAUUUAAUGAUCUGGAUUUAUAAUAAUAUUUGUAAGAUGGACGAGGCUUGAAGUAUUAUAGUUUUUCUAUUUUAUUUCCCCCUUUCCUUUUAUUUUAUUUUGUGUGUGUAUUUUUUGGAAUGCUUGCUUGGGAGGAAAAAAAAAAUAAAGAGUGAAUUUUUUUUUACAAGUAUUUUUUCUUUGUUUAGUGAAAGGAAAAAAGGAGAGAAAACCUAACUUCUAGAAAUAUCAUUUCUUUUAAUCCUUACGGGGGAUUACAUUUUGCAAUGUUAUGUACUACAUACAUGUACGUUUUAAUUGUUGAACCAAAUGAAACCUUUAAUGUGAUUCCACGAGAGCAACACAUUUAUUUUAAUUUAGUGCGUUUUCUGUUUUUCUUGCAUUUCCAACACGGUAAUAUAUUUUUUUUUUAUCAUUUCAAACUACCAAAAAAGACAUAAAUGUGAAAGACACAAUGACAUUUUAAAAAAGUUUUACUAUUUAUAGGUUUAAUUGCAGUAAAUAAAAAAUUAUUUAUAGGUUUAAUUAUUCAAUUUGUCUCUAUAAUUAUAUAAAAUUCAUCUUUUAGUCCUUAUACUUCAAAAUAAUUUAUUUUAGUUUAUAUAUAUAUAUAUAUAUAUAUUUUUUUUUAAAUCCAUUUUAGUUCUUAUACAUACCAUUUUUAAUAUUGUCAUUUAGUUUUUAUUGUCUAAAUUUAUAAGGAUUAAAAAAAAUUAAAAAUGAUGGUAUAUAUUAGGACUAAAAUGAAUUUUUUUAAGUAUAUAAACUAAAAAAUAAAAUUUGUGCAACUAUAAUGUUGUUCUGAAAAAAGCGGAAUUUAGCUAACUUUAUUGAUGAAUACACACCUCUAAUAGCAAGUAUUUUCUUGCAAAAAUAAGUCCAACCGUCUUAGGGUCCAAGAAAGAUACAACAUAGAACGCCAAACACUACAUAUUGAACCACAAUUAUUUAUUAUAUUUUUAGUAUUAUAUAUAUAUAUAUAUAUAUAUAUAUAUAUAUAUAUAUAUAUAUAUAUAUAUAUAUAUAUAUAUAUUUGUGAAAAAGGUAUUGUAAUAUUGUGAAUAUCUAUAAUAUUGAAGAUGUUUUAGUCCAUAUCUUCAAUUUUGUAUAUGUUUUAUUAUUUCUUUUUUCUUGUUACAAUUGAAUCCUUAUUUUAACAUAUACAUUAAAGAUACUAUUAAGAAAUUGAUUAAAUUAAUUAAAAUAUAAGAAGAAAAAAAAUAAAUGAAGGCAAAUUUGAGAGUUAGACAAAAAACUGUGAUUUUUUUAUAUCAAAAAAUAGGUUUCUAUUUUAAAAUGGGUUAUUCAAAUUGUCAAUUGAGUAUAACCGUGUAUUUAUAGAGACAAAAUUUAGAUUUUAGCCUAAUAAAAAAACUCUAUUAAAUAUCAUCACAUAUUAUCUAGACAAUUUUAAAUCAAAUUAGAGAACACACCAACGUACCUAUAGCAUUGCAUCUAUAUUUUACAUAUAUUCAUGUAAGCAUAAUUGAGAGAAUUAAUUUUAAUAAUUUAUAAGAUUAAAUAUGAUUUUUUCCUCCAAAUAUUGUCUCGCGUAUAUCGGUUUUAAUCCUCCAAAAAUAAUUUUAUUGCAUUUGUGUCCCUAAAAUUUUCAAAAUUCUCUUAUUAAGUUCUUUAUUUAAUUCCAUUAAUUUUCUUUUCCAAUAUAAGUUACCUCAACCCCAUUGUAGACAAUGUCUGAAAUUCAAUUUGUUACAGUCAAUGCGUCAAUGCACCUGUUGCUGUUUCUUUCCAAAGUUAAGUUCCACCAACAUCAUUGUAUGUACUUCUUGUUUGAAAUAAUAGAGUUGUAAUUUUUUCUUUCUUUCUUUCUAUUCUUGCAGUGUAAAGAAUGCUAAUGCUAGUAAUGUAAAGGUGGGGCUAUGAUGGGAGACCACACUAGGAAACCAAUUUUUCACCAUUAGACACGGUAGCUUUCAAAUAAACGCCCAAGAUAUUUUCUUCAUUUUUACUUUAUUUCUUUUUCAUAUUUCCUCUCUCUUUUUCAAAUUGUAUCAAUCCUAGGAAUUUUUUUUAGGAAAGUCUCACCUGAUCUCCAAACUCUUGAAAUCACAUCAUAACUAACAUCAUGUUUCAUUCCAUCAAUCUGGAUCCGCGAGUUUAUUUAUGUUUUUUUUAUUUCCUUCUUAUUGUUAAUUUUCCAUUUUUCAUUCUAGUGUUCUAACUUUGGAUUUAAUUUUUUUGUUAUCCAUGCUACUCCAAAAUCCUCACGCGUCCUUGUUGAAAAGUGUUAGUAUUGUUCUGCUGGUUCACUAGGGGUUUUUAAAGAGCAACAUUGAGUAAGCCAACUAAGAUGGCAAUGGCCCAACUUCCUCGGGACCUCAUAGUGGAAAUUUUGUCAUGGCUUCCCGUCAAAUCUUUCAUGCCUUUCUGAUGUGUUUCUAGGACUUGGAAUUCCCUCAUCUCCCAGGAAAAGUUUGUUAAAUUGAACCUUUAAAGCUCAUCCAAAAAACACCCACAUCCUAUUAAGGUGUCAACUUAAUACUGAGUAUGAAGAUAUGAGGGAUCUCUCGAGCGUUGCACCAUGCUCUAUAUGUGGUUCACUUGAGAACCCAACAUCCACUGCUGACAAUGGUUGCCACCAGUUAGACAACAGAUGCUUAUUUAUAGGUUCCUGCAAUGGGUUGGUUUGCUUGAUUAAUUUGAUUGCUAGAGAUGAAUUUAGUGAAUAUCGGGUUCGAUAUUUUGGAACCUGACCACAAGGAUCAUGGCUGAAGAUUCGCCACACUUAAGUCUUCGUUCAUGCAAUUAUAAACUUUGGUGGCAUCAAGUGAAGUGUGGGUUUGGUUAUGAUGAUUGGGGUGACACUUACAAGGUGGUGGUAGUCCUUUUGAAUAUUAAGUCACAAAAUUGGGAGGUGAGACUUACUGCUUAGGUGACACUCAUUUGAGAAAGGUUUUUAACUUGCCCGACUAUUCCCAUUUUGGGAGAACGGUGUGAAAAGUUUGCAAUGUAGGAAAAAAGGUGUUAAAAAACACACAUUGCGGAAUAAAAGAAUCUAUUUUGUAUUUAAAGUAUAUUAUAAACAAAUGACAUAUUAAAAAAUGUACCUGUUGAUGAGCUCUUGAAACAUAAAAAUUCUUAUAGAAGACUUUACGUAUAUCCACACCGAGACUGACCUCUAUUAGUCAACAACUUUGACAAGUAGAAAAAUAAGAAUGGAGAAGUGAUAUUGGGACAGUUUCAAUGUACAACCUACGUCUCAUUAGAUACCGGAUCAAACUUAGUAUUAGUUGCGUGUAAUGCAUUCUACAUCCCUACAAACUUGGGAAAUUGAUUCGUGUAAUUAAUGGCUAAAAUUUAUUAGAAAACACAAAUUUUUAAGAUCUAUUGUAUUCCUUAUUUUAGUUAGCUCUUUCUUAAUUUUGUAUUUUUUUAAUUGAAAUUAAACCCAUAAUAGAUUAGGUAUUAGAAGAAUUGUGUUAGAAACUACAUUGUUAUCACUCUUUUUAUAGUUAAUUACCAAGAUUUCCUCUUAAGUGCUUAUUCUAAUGUUAGAACUUUGAUCCUUCAUUUUUGGAGUUGGCUUGAUUAGCCUUAAGUCUAACCUUUGUUGGUAAAAAAAAUAUAAGUUAAUUAAAAAUUUUAAUAUGAUAUAGUAAAAUAAUCUAAACUGAGGACGAGCCCUGGUGUAGCGGUAAAGUUGUGCCUUGGUGACUUGUUGGUCAUGGGUUAGAAUCCAGAAACAGCCUCUUUGCAUAUGCAAGGGUAAGGUUGCGUACAAUAUCCCUCCCCCAUACCUUCGCAUAGCGAAGAGCCUCUGAGCAAUGGGGUACGAAGUUUUUUUAUAGUAAAAUAAUCUAAACUCACAUGAAUUGAUUGAUAGUUGGCUAGUCACAAACCAAGGGGAUAUAUAAUACCAAAAAGGAACAAGCCAUAUCAUGCAGUCACAUCUGCACCAUGCCAAACAAACAAGUUUCCUAGCUAAAUCUUAAUCAACAACCUUCCCCAAAAGAGGCAUAGGAGCCAUUGAUUUUGUGUUCCCAGUAUAUUUCCUUUUCUUUUCAUUGUUAUGUAAAGAUAUGAACAUUAUAUGUUAUGUUAUUUACAUAGCUUAUCCAAAAAAGUAUGUUAUUUACAUAGAACAAGGUUAUGGUCUAGUAACUCACUAAGUUGCAAACAAAAGACAACUUCAAAAUUCGAUACUCUACUUUUAUGGAAACAAUAGCAGCUUUCUAUUUUCCAUUGCUGAAAACAAGCUGAAUGAAUAUUCAUCUUUUGGAUUAAGAGAUGGCAAAAUUAAUUAAUCGGUAUUAAGAGGAAGAUUGAUUGUGUUUCAAGCUGUGCUCAUCCAGCCAAGAUAUGAUGUCACCAAAAACUUGAGUUAUUAUUUCAUCAGGCUCACCCUCAAGAAGACCAUGGUAGGCAUCCUUGUAAAGCUGAAGCUUCUUGUCUGAACAGCUUGCAUUCUCAUACAAGGCUUUGCUCACUGAUGGAUCUGUCACAGUGUCAGCCUCCCCGUGAAGGAUGAAUAAUGGUAGAGAAACCUGCAAUCACAACCAUUACAUGUGAAGAUGAAUAGUUUUUAUUUGACUGAUCCAAAAGAUGUAAAAUUUCAUAUUUAAACAGUAGUUCUAGAAAAGAACAAUCAAUCAAACCCAAAAGCAUGAGAAAUUAUUACAUGAUCCAGAACCACUAUGAUUCGACCAAUCUUCACAUGACAUGUAACCAAGUGUUACUUGUAAAUUGAAAAUUUUGAUUAUAUGUCACAAGAAAACUGGUUGAGACCAUGAACACGUAGUGGUUCUGAUCCAUGUAUUAAUUUCUCCUAAAGCAAUUUUUCUACUAUGACCAUCUUUAAAAACUCCAAGAUAUACUACCAUGCAGAAAAUGAAACCAUUUUUAGGGUUGUUAGCUAUAGGGUAUGGACAAGGUAAAGAAACUUAGUAAGUUUUUCAAAUUUGAGGAUAGUAGCAUCUGCCACAGUAAUACAAAGAUACAUGUAAAGGACUAAAAGUAGCUCAUUUAGUGAGAUAAAUUAUUCAAAGUCGAUUGAUCUGUUGUAAGAAGCAUGCAAAUAUAUUAAUUUCCUUCUUAACUAUGAAUUUAGACCAAUUUAAGCAUAUUAUAAUUAAGAGAGGAAGAACAAUAGAAAUGCCCUAUAUAAGCAGUAGAGUCGUGUCUUAGGAAGCCAGAGCAAAAAAGUAGUCUUAAAAAGGAUCACUGUUCACUAUUUCUACAGAAACUUCAAGACAUGACUUAUUUAAUGAUUCUUAAACACUUGAAAUUUUAAAGGGUCUUAUCUAGACACCUUUUUAGGGUUUUGUAGCUCUUGUUUUAGAAUUUAUAUAUAUGCACUAGUUUCAACUACUGAACUAGUUUUAGAUGAAAUACAUGCUACCAUCUUUGCUACCAUAAACUUAUGAUCUUUUUAAACCUAUAACUUUUACCAAAAUUUUCACCAACUCCAACACCUAGAGUAGAUAACCCAGAAGAUCAGAACAUACUUCUUUCAGUCGCCGUUCUAUUUCUUCAGUAGUUUUAAGCAUUUCUACAGCACUCUGCAAACGUGGUUUAUCCUUGUAAGCAAUAACAUUGUAAGCAGUCUGCAAAAAGAUUAAAAAAGAGUCAAUCUCUUACUUACAACACACAUAUUACCAAAAGAAAUGCAUGGAAAGAAUUGGCAAAAAAUGGAGUCACACACAAGGAAGGAUGGAUCUUUGGAUUUCUAUUAGCAGACCAAAAGUAACAUUCUGUAGAACAACAUUACAAAAUACAAACCAGUUCCCUCUUCUUCAAAUCUCUGAAUGCUGCCUCUGCUAAAUCCUUGUUUGGAACUAACUUAUGCUUCGGUAAAACAUUGGCUAAACCAAUCAGGAUAUGAGUGAGGAAUUUUGGAGGAACCAUGUCAUCUGCAAUCUACACAGAUUUUCAGGUCAAAGGGAGAUCAAAGCAAAGACCACCAGAACUCAAAACAUAAUUGUGUUUCAAGAAUAAUACUUUACACAUAGGCGCAACAAGAAUUGCACCAUCCCAUGCCUUAGGCUGUUUCAGGUGUAUCUUUAAUGCAACAGCUCCACCCAUGGACUGUCCAAAUAGGAAGCUGGGAAGAGAAUGGAACUCUGGAUUUUCUGCCAUAUAAACCAAAUCUUUUGAAUGAAUACAACAGUUUCAAUAUGUAAGUAAUUAGAGGAUGUGAGGGAUAGAUCAUAGGCUAAUGCCAAGUAGUUUCAAGAGAUGCAAUAACAGAAAGAAUCAAAUUGAUUGAAUAAAAGAUGAUGAUGAUGAUGAUUGAGAUACAAUGGUGUUCUAUUUAUGGAAAACUGAUCAACCAUAUACUCUCCUAAUGCGAUACUCCUUAAUAAUAAUUUUUUUAACUCGUUUCCAAUGUAAAAUGAAAAUAGAUGUAACAAUUACAAUUUUGUACAGACUGUUUCAAUACGUUUCCAUGUUUUUAAAGCCACAGUUCUAUUUUUCAGGCAAGGAAGAACACUAGGCAAACACUAACAACCAAGGUACAUGCCUUUCUUUGAACACAUAAUGGCAUUAAUAGGUGACAGCUGAGAUAUUUCCUUCAUCAGAAACGCAACUCAUCAUCUUGGCAAGUAUCAUGAGAAGAGUUCACCAAUAAUUCUCAGUAAUUCUAUUUGCAGAACAUCUAUAUGACAUGCACUUUAGCUACUGCCUAAAUAAGAAGAUAUAUGAAUAAAAAUGAGAUGAAAAACUUCAACCUGAUGAAUUGCUUUUUAUAAAACUCAAUAUUUUCUCUUUUCAAACAGUUACGGAAAACUUUAAAUACUUUAUACAACAGAAGUAAAUAUUAGUUCAAGAACCCUUACACAACAUAGUAUUGAAUUUCAUGAUGACUGAGAAUUUCAAGGGGUUGAUGGGAGUAUAAAUACCUUUGAUUUUUGAGUAAUGCUCAAUGACAUCAUCAACAAGUCCAUCAAAACUGGGAAUAUAGCAAUGGAGUCCUUCUGAGAGACCAAAUCCUGGAUAAUCCAUGGCAAAAACUGCAUAUCCAGAUGAUGCCAGCUUUCUAGCAAUUCCUGCAAAUAAUUCCAUGAAACUAUUGAGUCGCUAAUCCUCUAGGUAACUGAAUUUAGUUACUUAAAGCUACCAGUUCUUAGUACCAGCUACAUGCCUUCAAAGAAAAAGGAGCAAGUGUCUCCAUAACCAUGACAGUAAAACACUGCUGCUUUUGGCUUAGAUGCACUAGGAAGCCAACUUUUGCAGAAGAUUUCUAGGCCCUUUGAGCUCUUCUCAUAUGACUGUUGCAUAGCACACACAUUAAGAUAUCAUCACAUGUAAAAAAAAAAAAAAAACCAGGACAAUGACAAGUUGGCAUUGAUGAUAUCAACAUGUUUGAGGCAACUACUCAAAAGAAACAUGAAUUGCAUGAAACCGUUUUAGACUAAACUUCUUACUUACCUCUUCCAUUUUUAUUCCAUCACAUGGGGUCUGCAAAACAGAGAAAUAUAAAAGAGUUGAUAUUAAUAUUUAAAGGAAAUCAAAUUUUACUAAUUUAAAGUGAAAUAGCACAUCAGAUAAACACAUUCACUAUAGAAAUGUCUUUGAUGAAUUUGAAACAACAUGGAGAAAAUAACUGUACAAAUAAUUGAGUAAAGAAAGAAUGAACAGGCCACAAUACUAGAGUCCAAAAAUAAAAAUAAAAAACAAGGAACCCAAUAUGUUUAAGGAAUAAUUAGUACUCAAUCUUUACUCAACUAUCUUAAUUAUCUUGAGUCCCUACAGAUUGUUGAGCAGUUUAUGAAAUAAAAUAGUAAUGCUACAAUACGACUUUUUGAAAUGUCUCUCUAUAACACUUUAUUGGAUCGUGUUUCAAAUUUGGAAUAAACCAUCAAUUUCAUCCUUGAAGUAUUUCUCUCUCUUAAAUAGUUCUUAAAGUAAAAAAAGAAAAAUAUAUAGUAAUCCCUUGAGUAUUAGAAAUCAUGCAACAUAGUAUCUUGAGUACUGAAAAAUCUUUCAAAUUAGUCUCUCAACGUUAGUAUAAUAUAUUAACUUAGAGACUAAACUAAUAGAUAAUCAAUACUUUAUGCAUGAGGGACCAAAUUGAUAGUUUAUUCUUCAAAAAUUGCAUUCUGAAUUGGAGCAGUUCUUUCGCAAGUACAGUGCUCACAACCAAUCAAAAACUUAUAAAAUAUUAAGAUAACUUCAGCAUUGCAUUCACUGCUCGCAUGUAAGAUAUUUUAAUACAUCUUAAAAUCUUGAUAUAAUUAUAUAUAUAGCAGUAUGUCUAUGCAAGAAUUACUCUAGAAAUCGACUUUUUUUGCCCCUAAAUUAUUGAAUAACUGAACAUGGUCAAAUAAUAAGCAAAAAAAGAGUUUGAAAGAAUAACCUACCUAACAUUUUUCCUCCUGUAUUACUAUAGUUGAAUUGGUGGCUGACCCCAUUGCAUUUAAGAAGUUGCAACUCAGCUACAUUCUACAUUCAUUUAAUAGCUACAACACCCCCCCACCCCCAAAUUAGACUUGAGUUCAUUGUCUCAUCUCGCUAAUCUGACUCAUUUAAAGUUAAUUUUGUUGAAUUUGAAUUUGAGUUUCAACUCAUUUUCAUUCUAUUAACUCAACCCAGUCCAAUGUUAAUUUUAACAAGUUCAAAUUAAAAGAUUAGACUCAUGUAUUUUGAAAGAAUAGUUCACCUCACAACAACAUACCAACACCCCCCUCCCAAGGAUCCCCUUUGGCUUUACCAAAAAAGAGAUAAUUUCAGAACACAUUCUCUCGCUCUUUCCAACGGAUUUGCCAUUGCCCACUAGAAAUCUCAAAGUCAAUGUUCCAAAUCCACGUAAACAUGUUGAACCAGUCUCAACUACAUGUACUAACAAUUAAUAUACCCUCAGCAUUAAAGAAGUCCCCCCCCCCCCCCCAGAAUAAAAAAUAAAUAAAAACUUACUCACAAGACAAAACCAAACAAAUUAAAAAAAAAAAACAAGGAUUAAUUUCAUCAAUUCCACAAACAACAACAAAAGAAAAGAAACAAAACCAAACCUUAAACAAUAUAUGAUCAAUUCCAAGCUGAAUAUCCUUGAAAGCCUCACGUGCACGCCUUCUAGCACCAACUUCGUCCAUGUUAGCGUUCAAAAUCUUCUUCAAUUCUCCAUCAACACCAGGUAUCCCCAUUCUUGACACCUUUAUCACCUCUCUCCUAUUACUCCUCUUCUUUUGGACACCAAAUGCUGCUCUGAAUUCUGCACCACUUGGAUUCAAUUCUGAUCUAAUCUACAGACCUAGAGACAGAAUCAUAGGAAACAGACUCUGACACACCCCAUUAAAAAAACAACACUGGUAAUGGGAAGAGAAUAUUAAAAAGAUUACUUUUUUCUUUCACUUAUACUAUUUUUUAUCCAAAUACUACCAACCAUUCAAAGGGUAGCACCAGGAAAGCUUUGUGGGUCUCUGAGUCAAUAUGGGAUCCGCAAAAUAAGGAAUAUCUGACUCGGGAAAAAGGAUAAGGAUAUGUGGUGAAGAAAUUAAUAGUAGCUAACAAGCAGAUAAAUUUUUUAAAAAAAAGUGAAAAAUGAGAAUAAAAGUAUUUUUAUUUUAAUUUUCUUAAAUGAAAGUUAGUUAUGGAAGGUGGAAUUUGAGUAAGGUUAGAAAAUUCUUUAUUCAAAAAAUUAAAAAGAUAAGGAAAGAUAGAAGAAAAGUAGUAGUGUUCUUGUUUUCUUAGUAUGGAAGGAAGAAUUAUUAUGGAUUUGCUUGUUUGCUUAUAUGAUUUUGAAUUAAAUACGUAUUGUUAAGGUUGGGAUGAGGUUUGAAGCGGUCGGUGGAAAGUUCCAUAAAAAGGAGGAAGAAAGAAGAUUGUGGAGGUUUGAGAUUGCCUCAAUAGAGGGAUAAUUUGGAUGAUAGAUUUGUAUUUAAAUACCAGUAUACGAAAAACAAAUUUAAUCAAAAAUAUAAUUUACUUAUAGCAUUUGUAAAUAUUAUUGGUUAUUAUUCAAUGUAUUUAUAUUAAAUAUUUUCUUAAAUUAUUAGAACAAAUAUUAAGAGAAUAUUAUGAAAAGGAUAUAGUACUAUUUUUAAUUUAAAGAUAUAUUUUACUUUGCAAUACAAAUUAACCUUCUAUUACUUGAGUUGGAUUCUCACAAAUAAAAUCAAAAAGAGAUUUAAGAAGUAGUAUUUUAGUUUAGCUAAUGCAUAGUAUAAAUUUUAUUUUAUAUAAUUAAAAAUUAUAAUAAAUAAAUAUUCUAAAUAUAUAAACUUAUUAUAAUUUUAAAUCAUAUAAUAAAUAAAUAUUUUCAUAUAAGUUAUAUUUUAAAUUUAUAAUAAAUAAUUUCCAUUAUGAUACAAGAUUAUUUUUAGUUACUAAUAAUUAAAUUUAAAGAUAAAAAUAGAAAUGAUAUAUUGGAGAUAUCAAAGAUAUUGAAAGAUAAGUGAUUAAGAGUAAUUAAUAUUUUUCUUAAGAAAAUUCAACUAUUUUUCCUUGAAUCAAUAACUUGUUAGUUAAUAAAAGAAUUUAUAAAUAGAAAAAGAGUAUUUUUAAAUGAUUGAGAAAAAUAAUUUGGAAUACUUUUUAAAUCAAAUUAUAUUUAAAUUAAAAUUAAAAAAUAUUUAAAUAGACUUGUUAACUUAUAUCCAUUUAUUUUUGUUUAGAAAGAGUAAGUUAACAAUUUAUAUCAUGAAUAUAUUUUAAGAAAUUUGUAGUUUUCUACAACAAAUUUCUUUAAAAAUGAGUAGAUAUAAAUUAGCAAAUAUCAUCUUUAAAAAUGAUUAUAAAAUUAAAUUAAAUACCUAAUAUAUAAAAUUAAGAUAAGAGAUAUAGUUUAACGAGAAUGAGAAUAAUUUCUAAAAGUAAAAACCUCAUCCAACGAUAACUCAACAUUCAUAUUUGAAAAUGUCUAAUUAUUUUGUAGGUACUUAAAAAUGUCUCUUAAAAAAUUAUAAUAUGAUUUAGAUUAUAAUUUAAAAAUAAAUCAUGAAUAUAGAGAAAAUUAUACUCCUUUGUUAUAAUAAGUUAAUAACUACGUGGAACGGUUCCAGGUCCACUUGUGAGGAAAGUUGUCCACGUAUACGAAGCAUAUAAUAACGGUUGAUCUUUAUUCUUUAGGUAAGUGAUGUCACUAUCCUUAUAUAUAUAUAUAUAUAUAUAUAUAUAUAUAUAUAUAUAUAUAUAUAUAUAUAUAUAUUUAAAAAGGUAUUUUUAAAAUUAUUUUUUUAAGAAAUACAUAUAUUUUAUUUUUUAGAAGCCAGAAAAUUAUUUAUAAGAAAACAUUUUAGAGAAAUAUAUUAAAAAACAUAUAAUUACUUAUCUUGUUAAGAAAAACUUAUUUUAUAAAAUAAGUUUAAAUAAAGAAAAAAAACACAGUUUAGACAAAUAUGUUGUGUGGGACGGAGAACAAGAAUUAGACACGUAUUAAAACUCUACAAAUGAUCAUGGUUUGCUAUUGGUGUGCUGUUGCAACUUACAUAGCAUGAAAGUCAAAGUCCGAAAAGAACACUAAUCACUGUCAAGUUGUGAGUGUCCCCUCAACGAAUAUAAUAUCCACUUUGUUAAGGCAAAUACACCAAAUAGGAACGCAUAGGGGCUGUUCUACAAUUAUUUAUCUGGGAGAUCUAUUUUUAUAUUACAAAGAGCCCCUAGACAGCACUUCCGCUGAGCACGUGNNNNNNNNNNNNNNNNNNNNNNNNNNNNNNNNNNNNNNNNNNNNNNNNNNNNNNNNNNNNNNNNNNNNNNNNNNNNNNNNNNNNNNNNNNNNNNNNNNNNNNNNNNNNNNNNNNNNNNNNNNNNNNNNNNNNNNNNNCAGUCUCUUUUUCUCACACCCCCCAACCUCUUCCCACACCCCCACUCAAAAAUUGUAUAUUUUUUAAUUUGUUUAUAAAAAAUUUAAUUAAAUUUUGUUUCAUUUUUAUUAUUAGUAUUAUUUGUUAUUUUUUUAUAUUCCCACACCCCCACCCCAAAAUUUCAAUAAGAUUAUUUUUUAUACACUCUAAAUUGUAUAUUUUUAAAUUUGUUUAUCAAAAAUUAAAUUUUUUUUCAUUUUUAUUAUUAGUAUUAUUUGUUAUUUUUUUAUAUUCCCACACCCCCACCCCAAAAUUUCAAUAAGAUUAUUUUUUAUACACUCUAAAUUGUAUAUUUUUUAAUUUGUUUAUCAAAAAUUAAUUUUUUUUUUCAUUUUUAUAUUAGUAUUAUUUGUUACUUUUUUAUAUUUUAUUAUUCUCUCUUUUUGAAGUAUAUAUAAGUACAUUUUCAAUAAAAUACAUUUUGAAAUCCUAAAAUGUUUUAAAAUGCUUUUUGAUUUGGCCAAUUCUUUUUUGAUUUGGCUAUUAAAUUACGUUAGAGAUCACUUUUGGUUUAUGUGUCAUUAACAUUAUGGUUAUUUAUUUUUAUUUAUUUUAAAAGCAUUGCACAAUAAGAUUGAAACAUUAAAGUGACAAUAAUAUAAAAUUAACAUGAAAAAAAAUCAUACAAAGUACAUGACAAUAUGAAACACAUGGAAAAAAAUAAUAAAAAGUACAUGAAAAUGUUAAACCAUGCGAAAAAAAUGUAAACUCAUUAUUAAUCAAUCAUCACUAUGUCUGUGAUGUCGCGACGAAGUCCCACAUGGCCGGUCCCAAUUUCUAGCUGCCCUAUUAGAAUUUCUUCUUCUACGAUUCACCCUUUCAUCCACUUGGUUAGCCUCGGCAGAGAAUCAUGACGUAAAUCGACCCUUAAUAAGUCGUCCAUGUCGGGUAUAUCUUCAGGUACAUUCCACGAACCAGCAAGUGGGGCAUUUUGGGUCGAUACUUGACCACUUUGAGUAAAUGAAGGAGUUCCCGUUGAAGGAGGAGAGGACCCAAAUAUGCCUGCAAAACUAUACCCUGGUUGAAAAUCAUGUGGGUAUGAAUACAUCGGCGGCAUUUGAGACGGUUCUUGGGUGAAUGCCGGCGGUGUGUAAUACAUUCCAUGUUGUCGUUCUGGCAUCGGAGGCAAACUAUACGUUGCUGCAUCAACAGUUUCCCGACGUCGCGCUAAGCCUCGAGUCUCUACACUUUGCUGUAGUAUAUUAAACUGUUGAUGUUCAAAUUGUGGCUGAGAAGAGGGAGCAUCUUCAUGUGCCUCAAGUAUCCUAUCCUCUUCGUCAGACAAAAGAGUGAUCUUCUCGAUACAUGGCAGUAAAUCGUCAAAAGUACAAACUCUUCUCCCAACAGGCGACACCAUAAAAUAUAGUGUUUCGGCGAUUUCACCCUGCAUAGAAAAUAAAUGAAUAGUUAUUAAAAUAAUUUUCAAUAAGCGCAACAUUAUUUUCUAAAUUAUAAUGAACAAUGUAUACCAAUAGUCCUCUUCUUGCAUGUUUUGGGUCGACAUAAACUUUUGUUUUACGCCUGUACCACCUCAUAUAUUCAGAGUUCAGACUGAGGGUCCUUGUUUGUGGCGGCGUUUGCUCUACUCUCAUUUCAUAGCGACUAUUCCAUUCAUUAAGCGCGGGUUACAUUAGUCGCAUCCAAUUUUUUCCUUCCUUUCCCUUUAAUGUCAAGUCAUGUAUGUUGUUGGGUUGCAUUACUGGUCCCGGAGUAGGUUGCUGCAUUCCAAAUUGUCUCAUGACUCUAUCCGGCUGGUGCCAUUCCACUUUUUGAAAACAAAUAAGUGGUAUGAUACAAUCCCAUAAUACAGACCCAAAAAAACAAACUUGACUCAAAUUCAUUUUCACAUGUCCAGCAUAAGGGACCCAGACAAACUGCAUAUAAAAGUUAAAUUUAAUAAAUUAAUUAAGAAAUACAACAUCAUUUAAUAAACAAACAUCAAAAUUGUUAUCUCGUCGCGUUUCAUGACAUCUAAUUUACGACAAAACUCAAUUAAAUUGUCAUUGCCUAUGUGAUGCAAUUCACCUCCCAACCAUCUUCACAAAAAAUUAAAUAACAAAAUAAAAUGAUACAUAGAAUAAUGAUUAACAUCAACCAAGCAUGUUUAUUAAUAAUCAAUUCAAAAUAGUAAAGGAAAGUAUACCUGUAACCAAGUGGCGCGUUUUGUUGUUGUGGAGGAAUAACUGAGGGGGCUAACGUUGGGCAUCGUUCCCAUGCCCAUAAUUGAAUCAAGAGAGUGAAAUCGCCUAUUGAUUUAGUAUUAUAGUAUGUUGCGAUGCACAUCUCUCUAUAAAGGUUACCCAAAACAGCAGCUCCCCAUGCAUAACUACUGCACUCUCUAAGGUCUCUCAGAAAUUGCAAAUAUUUCAAAUGCACCCUUUUGUUGCUUUUGUCAACAAACAUUACCCCUCCUAUAAAUCGUAAGAUCCAAGCACGAGCAAAUCUUUCAAGGCCGUCUUGGCUGCCUGUAAAAUCAUGAAUAUUUGCAAAAUGAGAAGACAACCAACUCAAUUUAAUUGAGUUUCCAUCAACUGCAGCAUCGUCAGGCAUGACACCCAAUAAUUCAUGAAACAACUCAAACCAGUCAAUAUUUGUAUUUCCAAUUAAAGGUCUUCCAUCCACAGGAAUACCAAGUAGCACAGAAACAUCUUGAAGUGUAAUAGUUGUCUCCCCACACUUCAAAUGAAAUGUAUGCGUUUCUGGCCUCCACCUUUCAAUAAAAGCAUUAACCAAUGCUCCAUUCACUUUCAACUGUGCCAAUUUCAUUAUCAGGUACAAACCCAAAAUUUGUAAUAGAGGAAUAAUUUCUUCGGGCGGUGCUUCUCUAUGAUUGUAUAGUGGUGUGGCUCGUUGGAUUUUUAACAUCCUAUCAUUAGCAUCAUUCUAAAUAUGUUGGGAUAUAUGAUUUUUUUGCAUCCACAAUAAAUCAUCCUCUAAUGGUCCAGAUGCCACGCCAUAAUGAUGAGAAGAUGACGAACUAGCCAUAUUAAAACUCCUGUAUAGAAAGAAAAAAAAAUUAAUAAUCACACAUAUAAUAAAUAAUAAAUAAAGUCAAGUACGUACACAAACAAUAUUCUAAAAAAAUACAUAGUUUAAAUUUUAGAAACGAACACGUAAUUUAAGUUUUCUUCACAUUGAAAAAUUUUUUUCCUUAAUUUUCAGAAAAAAUUAUAAUUUUUUUCUCAAUUUCAGCAAUUUCAAAAAACAUAUAUAUAUAUAUAUAUAUAUGUUUAUUGAAAUUGCUGAAAUUGACAAAAAAAAUAUAUUUUUUUUAUUAUAUAUAUAUAUAUAUAUAUAUAUAUAUAUAUAUAAUAAAAAAUAAUUUCUUCACAUUGAGGAAUUUUUUUCUCAAUUUUCAGAAAAAAUAUAUAUUUUUUUCCUCAAUUUCACCAAUUUCAGAAUAUAUAUAUAUAUAUAUAUAUAUAUAUAUAUAUAUAUAUAUAUAUAUAUAUAUAUAUAAUGCCUUUCUUUUUUAAAUAUGCCUAAUAACAAUAUUACAGUAAUAUUUAUUAUGAAUCUUAAUUAAAUUUAUAUUCUAAAAAUUAAACAAUUGUAACAAAAAUAAACAAUUUGUUAUAUAAUUAAUAAAAAAUAACUAAAAUAAUAAACAAAUUAAACUAACAGCAAAAAUAUAUAAAGAUAAAGAAAAUAAACUUGUUGUUGUGUUGUGAGUUAAUACAAUUUUCUUGUACACAAGAUGACUACCUGCAAAAAAAACAUACAAAUAAUAAAAUAUAACAAUUUAUAAAAAAUAAAUAAAUUUGAAACAAUAAAAAAAUUAACAUACCAACUUUGCUAGGAGAAGGAAAACAAAAAUGAAAUGCUGGGAGGGGAGGGACAAGCCUCGGGGAUAGAGGGGAGCUUGGGGGAGAAGGAGGGAGUGGGGUGGGGACCAGGUGCCCUUAACGGGCUGGAGGGGGUGGGGGAGAGGGACGCGCCUGGUCCCUAGGUGCCCGCAACAAGGGCGUCACCAGUCGCGCCCAGUCCCAGGGCGCUAGCAGACGCGCCCGCGUCAGGGGCGCUACCUGCUGUCUCCUCGUGCGCCGCGCUGAUGCCACAUGUCGCCUUGUGCACGGAGGCGUCUGUCUGGGGGGCUCUUUGUAAUAAAAAAAGCAGACCCCCCAGGUAAAUAAUUGCAUAACAAUCCCUAUUUGAUAAAUAAAAUGUAAAAGUGCCCCUAUUUAAUGUUUUUGCCCACUUGUUAAUGUUCUUGAAAUAUUUGCCCUUCUACAGACAGAUUUUAUUAGAAGUGAUAAAAUUUAUUUUGAUAAUUUUUAUAUUUUGAGGGUUAAUUUUAUAAUAAAAAUAUUUUAUUUUAAAAAAUGUUGUCGAAAAACACUUACUCACACUCACUAUUGGCUCUAUGCCCGAUAAUUAUCUUAUAAAAAUUAAAAUUAAAAUAAUUAUAUUAAAGAAGAGUAUUUUUGGAAAUUAUAUUUUGACAACAAUAUACUUUUUUUAAAAAAUAUCAAUAUUUUAUCUUUUACAAUCUAUUAUUUUAUAUUAUUUUUUUAAAAGUUUUUAUAUUUUUAUAAGAUUACAAUCCCUCUGUAAUAUCUGCACGGAUAGAAAGAAAUUGGAUCUCUAUCUCACACCACAGUGCUCACUAAGUAGAAGAUUGUUUCACAUUUUCUCCCUUUCACUCUUGCAUGUUUGGCUAGUGUUAGGGAAAAUGGUUUUCUUUUAUUGUGUGUUAUAUUGUUCAAAUACACAGAGAUUUUGAUAGAAUUCCUAUUUGUAUUUACAAUUUUAUCAUUAAUGAAAUGAGGUGACACAGUUUCGUUAAAAAAAAAAAAAAAAGCAUCUCUUGUAUGUAGGCAGCAUAUAAUCACAUUAUACCUACUCAUAAUCUUAUCCUGGACGAGUUUAUGUGUGGACCUCUAAUUUAGUUUAAUUCAUUUAAUCUAAAUAAUUACCUUUUUUACGUACAUUAGGAUUUUUUUUUUACUGCAUUUGCAUUAGGAUUUUAUUCUCAAUAUAAAAAUUCCUAUACAUUUAUAUAUCUUGAAAUUAAAACAAAGAGAAAACCCUUAAACAAUCCCUUAAAAUUACAUGCAUCACCACCAUAUCAGACCUUUAAAAUUUAGGACAAAUAAAUUAUUAGUCAAUCAGAAAUUUUAUUGUUAUAUUAUUAAUUCUCUAAGAAUUUUAUUACCAAAUUAGUCUUCCAAAUUAAAUUUGAUUUGCCAUCAAAAUUAAUCUCUCGAAGAUCUAAAAUAUAAUCACAUAAAUUUUGAUGAAAAUUUAAAGCGAUUACAUAAACAUUUUUUGAUAGAUCAACCUAGAUAAUUUUUUUUAAAAUAAUUAAAAUGAUAACAAAUUAAUAUUUAAAAAAACUAAUUCAACAAUUAUAAAUAAGAAUCCUCAUCGUUGAAUUGAAUGAAAAUAUUUUUAGGAAUUUUUCACAUUUGUGUUUUAGGAGAAUUCUCACUUUUGUUGAAUAACAUAUGUUAUGUUUUUUUUUAAACAAUAUAUUUUAUCUUAAUCUUAUAUAUAUUAAGAAUUUAGCUCUAUUUUUUAAAGAAUAUAUCUCAUAAUUUAAAUUUUAAAUUUAAUUUGAUUUAACAAAUAAUCCAAAAAAAUGAUUUCUUGAUUAUUUCAAUAUGCUCUCUAUUCAGCAAAAAAAAUCUCAAUAUACUCUCUUUUCAAUCUUUAUAUAUAUAUAUAUACUUCAUUUUCUAAACCACUUAUCUCUUUGAGCCUACUUUUUUCAUCUUUACUAUUAAAAUAAUUUUCAAUAACUUUUUUAAAAAAUUAUAAUUAAAAUAUAUCUCGUAUCACAAUAUAAAUUAUUUGUUAUAAUUCAAAAUAUAAUCAUAUAUCAAACAAAUAUUUAUACAUUAUAAAUUUUACGUAUAUAUUUUCUCCACAUGUUUUACCAGUUAAAAUACUAAUUAAAUUUUAAAAAAGGUAAUGUAAUAACGCCCACAAUUUCAAAAAAAAAAAUGAACUAAGAUUUUUGUCCGGAAGAAACGUUACUAGUAGUAUUUUAAGGGAAACGUGACAAGUUAUUAGUACAGUCAUUAAAGAAGCAUGCAUAGCAAUUAGCAUAGGUAAAACGUGGGAAUGAAUAGGAUGAGACGAGAUGAUAGCAAUGAACGACGUCGUGUGAACCCCCCAAACAAACCGUACCACACGUAUCUUCCAUUAUUAUAAAUCGAAUCCAGCUCCCAUUUUUCUCCUCCUCUCCUUUCUCCUAGCUCCACCUCCCUUCAUUUCUCUCUCUCUCUCUCUCAGGUUUUUUUUUCUCUCUCUCUCUCUAACAUGUUAUUUUGUUCUAGAUCGAACCAUGUUUUAAAUAUCAUAGUUUCUUCAAAAUUUUGGCAAAGUUGUGUCUUUUGGUUUGGAGUCUCAAACAUAACAUGUUUCCUAGGACAGAUCUUUCCACACGUUACUAUGUUGUUGUCUUUUUUUUUUUUUUUUUUAAAUGUUGGGAAAACGUGUGUUUUUUUUGGUGGGGAUUGGAGAUUUAUUUCGAAGGCCUCUUUUUGGGUCCUAGGUUUUGGGUGCUUUUUGAAAAUGGAGGCAUUGGGUUUUUGUGGGUUAAGUUGACCUAAAUGUUGGUUUUUUGAGGUGUGCCAUCAUGGGUCUCUUUGACCUGGAAAAUGAAGUUUGAAAUUUUUUCAUGCUUUGAGCUCAGAUUUGAUGGUUAUUUGUGAAAAUUCGUUGAACCCUUAUCUGCUGGUUUUGAAAAAUUGUACAAGAGUGAAAUGGGUUGCGGAAUUAUAAUUUUCCAAUGUUUUGUGUUUAGGCUGAAUGAAUCUGUUUGCGUAUUGGAGUAGUAGUGUUACAAUUUUUUAGAUCAUGCUCUUAAUUUCUUUGUUAAUAAGAAACUUUUACAUGUGUGUGUGUGUGUGUGACAUUAUAUCAGAAUAAUUUUGUUGUAUAGAUUGGGGAUGGUGUUACAAUUCUUAAGGUCAUGCUCUCAAUUUGGGCAUGUUCUGAGUAUAACUUUAUUUUAUUUUGUUGUAUAGGCGUUCUACUGUGGAAAAAAGGUGAUUUUGAAGAUGAACUGUUAUGGUCUUCAGCAGAACGCCUUUGCAGCCUGUGAAGAGAUGAGAGGCUCUGUGAAUUUCGUUGAUCAGAAGGAGCCUGUCAUUUGCCCUAAGCCGCGCCGAGUUGGGGUUGCAUCUAACAUGCCUACGAGGCAUUUCAGAUGGCAUUUCAAGUAAUUUAUUGGAAUCCAUUGCAUCCCUUUUGAGUUUUGUUGACAUUAAUUUGUUUUUGAAGCCUCUCAAUGUCUGAUCUGUUGUGUGUUUCAAUAUUUCUUGUAGUCCACAGGCUGAGGGUUCUGACACAAAAGCUGGGGCAGAACUAUUAGAGAUAAUGUUUAAGAAGGUAAGCCAUGACUUUAUGACAAAUUUCUCUAGUGUGUAUUUAAGCCUAGGAAGUUAUAUGUCAAUUAGGAUAGUCUUGGCACCAUGGUAAUGUAUAAAUUUUUAGUGUGAUGCAUGCUUUGCUUCUUUUGUUAGACAUUUGAUUUAUUUGAAUCAAGGUUUUAAAAAAUGGUUUGCUACCAUGAUUUUAGCCUUUAUGUCAAGGUUUUUGGACUUUUUGCAAUUGCAAUUGUGGCUACAUUGGCUGCAUUUGCCUGCAAUGUUCAAAAUCGUGCUGAAACCCUGACUAGAAUUUAAAACCUUGAUUUGAAACUUUGGAAUGGUUUUAAUUUGAAACUUUGUAGAGGCAUAUAGUUUUACAUGAGAAUAUGGUUAUUAUUGAGGGGUAUUUUUGAUAAAUUUCAUAGAUCAUAGAUUGAGAUUUUGGUGUAAUGAAUGUUCUCUCUCGUAUAUAACUUUGACUUAUGAAAUGGUAUGCUUAUAUAAACAGGAGAGUCAUGGGCAGGAAUAUGCAAAUCAGGUAGCUUCAUCUCCUCCAUUUUUUUGCGGGUCUCCUCCAGUCCGGGCUGCAAAUCCCUUGGUCCAGGAUGCUCAUUUUGGUGAUGAAAAACAUUGUCCGUCAUUAUUAAUUUCAUCGCCGUCGGGUUUACUAUCUCCAUCUUCGGCGUCACGCAAAGGAGGGUGUGUUAGGAUGACUUUCGGACUUAAACCUGCUGCAGUUAGAGUAGAGGGAUUUGAUUGCCUCAACAAGGAUUGCCAGAAUUCUAGAAUCACUGUUGUUGCUUAAACUCCAUUCAGAGAAUUGUACAUAGAGGAAGCUGAGUGUGACUGCUUAUAAAAAUGACUUGACUCAACUAGGAUGAAUAUCUUUGAGUAGGUUGAGGGAAAUGCUGAGGAAGCAAACCUUGUGUUCUUGAGAAGGUUUGAUGUGUAAAGAGACCAUGUUAUUUUUGUAAUGCAAGGUUGGAUCUGAGUGUUUUCUAAUUUUUUUUUAGGUCAUCACCACUAGAAUGUCCUGUAUAGAGAGUUGGUGAUUUUGGUUAUCAAUCUUGUGAAUAUGUUUAGCUAAAUUUAAACGCAUAUUUAUUGUAUUUAAUGAAAUUAAACUGGUAUUUAUAUUUUAUAAUGAGAAAUGCCAUUUCUAACCCUUGUUUAAAGCUUGGUGUGGAAUAUUGUGAUUAUAGGAAAAGUAACAGUGCUUUGUUUCAAGACCAUUGACAAUCAAUUAUUUUUUAGAUUAGUAUGUAUGGUUUAGUUUAAUUUAGGUUAGAGAAUUGACCAUUUUUUUAAAGUUCUUUUAUGAAGAUGAAUCUUGAAAGAAAUAAAUGAUUAUUUUUUAAAAAUUUAUUGAAUCAAAUAUUGCAAUUCUUAGUUGUGGAAAAUUUUCUUUUGGAACGAGGAGUGACUUGGGAUGAUUGUUUUGAAAGGAAGUCAUUGUGAGAUUGUUGUAUCUCUGCUUAUUAUGAUUGUUUUCAAAGGAAGUGUUUCCAAGAUUGUUAUGUCUCUCUCUUUUUUUUUACACAAUGUUAUGUUCGGUAUUGUUUGUUUUAGUUUUUUAGCUUCUCUUUUCAAAAGUAAUUGCUCUUUUAAUCAAAGUAUUUUGUGCCAAAAAUAUUUUUGGCCUGAUUUUAAAUAUUAAUUGCUUUGGAAGUACAGAGUUUCCCUAAAGUUUUAUGAUACCACAUUUUUAUAUAUAAGAUUAAAAAUUAAAUUUUAGUUAACAUGUUCAAGAAAUUUAACUAAAUUCUAUUGGCUCUUCUAAUUAGUUCAUAUAGAAGCUUCGUUUUUAAACUUUAUUAAUUAGAAAGUAUUGUAAUUUUAAUCUUUAUUUCAAAAUAUUUUUUUUAUUAAAAAAAUAUUUAAUUAAAGAAUAUUAUAAAGUAUUAAUAACCAACAUAAUUUGUUUCAAACGUUGGAGAUUUUGAUUUUGAUAAUUAACUUAAUUUGUUUUUGAAUGUUAGAGAUUUGUUAACUAAUAAUAUUUGUUUUGACCAUUUAAAACAAAUUAAUUGAUAAUAUUUUUCAACUGUGAUUUUAUCGUAUAUUUGUUUGCAACAAAAAAUUAUUUUUAUUUUAAAGACUUUUAUUUUUAAAUUAUGUCUAACUUAAUUUCUCUGGUUAGGAGAAGACUAGAGCAAAUUCUAUCUUAAUCAAAUGUUAGUCGCCAACAAUAGAUUGCGGUGUUAUACUUGUAUUGACAAGGGAGUUAUGGUUGUUGGUUUAAGGAAGUCAUGCGUGAUGUGUAAGAAUGAAUUAUUUUGUGUUGUUCAAAUCACGAAAUAUUUUUUAUUUAUAAUGAUUGUGGUUUAUAAAGUUAGGAAACAAAGUAAUGAAUAAUAAUGGAAAUAAUCUGAUACUUAAUUAUUGUAUUUAAAACAUAUCAAAUCAUAUAUUUCACGCACUGCUUCAAGUUGGAACAUAUAUGUCAUGCGAAUAAAGCUUGCAAAUGUGGUAUACUAAAUAGAAACAAGUAAUGGGUCCAAGGGUGCGUAGGAUAAGCAUGGCACGAUGGCAACCAACGAAGACCCAUAGUGGCGACCGAUGUUCACCCUCGAAUAAAGCACACUUUGAGGUGGAAGGAGGUGAUUCCAGUGCGACGCUUGUCGAAGAUGCGUCAUGCAUUGUGUGCGUGAACUUCAUGCACUGAAAAGGGUCCCGUGUGGGGUUGCGUGCGAUGGUGUCUUGAGUUGGUUGCACACAUAGAUGUUGUGGCAGUGGUUGUUGGGAGGUGGAGACUCUGAGUGCUUGGUCACGCUGAAGAUAGGAAGGCGCGACGACUGCUAAUGGAGGCUUCUGGUAGCUUGUGGUAUUGUUCAUGCAAGAACGAAGGGACACUACACUGAUAAAGAAACCAAAACUGGUUGGCGCACAUAAGAAAGGAGAAAGGAUUAUCAAAAGAAGGGUGGCGAGCGCAAAGGUACACCAGAGACAAUAGGUCCCCAAUGGAGAAUGACUUUUGUUAUUCCUCUAUCAAGAAUAAUAUGCUCUAAUACCAUGUAAAACAAUAGAAACAAAAGGAAGUUGAGUGAAAACUUGUCAAAGUACACAAUGAGUUGCUUGUUUAAAUAGAUGUGCGAUAAUAAUUACACAUAAUUAGAGGAGAUUAAAUUUCCCCUAAAUUAGAUCCUAACAAAUCAAUUUAUAAUAAAUUAUAUAUUUAUUCCUAAUUUUCAACAUUCUCCCUCAAGCAAAAGCUUACUAAAGAGAAAUGAAAGGCGGUUUCAACUAUGUGGUUGUGCCAGAUAAAUGAUGGUCGACGGUAGCCAACGAAGGCCUGCAAUGACAAUGGAGACCAGUGUGACCCUCAUAAAAAAUGUGUCACAUAUUAUCUACGUGAACUCCAUGCGCCGAAAAAGGUCCUUGCAUGGGGUCGUGUGUGGCAAUGUUUUGAGUUGGUUGCGCACGUGGACGACAUGAUGAUCUUUGGCAAUGGGUGACAAUGGAAAAGGCAUCGGGAAGUUUGCCAAACAAGGGUAAAGUAGUCAUGUAGCUCUAUUCACGGCAAAGAGGGGUUGUGCUAAAAAGGAAAACAAAGGGAACCGUUUGCUGGUAGUUGGGUCACCGACCAAUGAGGGAUAAUUUUCAUUAUCUAAUACCAUGUAAGAAAUAUUUAUUGUUGUGGAUCAAACCAUACGAAAUGCUCUUAUUUAUAACAAAUAAGAUUUACAAAAUAAUAAGUAAUAAUAGAAAUAAUCUCAUAAAAUACUAUAAGUAAAACAUAUCAAAUUAUAUAUUUAGCCAUUUCACAAAUGUCAUGAUUUUCAUUUUCUUGUUAGUAAUUAUUGAAUAUAUAAACUAGAUGUCACUCAGCCUUUUUUGUGAAUAACUAGUAAAAUCUUUAUUUUUCAAGUUAAAUGUGACAGAAUCAUGUUCAUUUGAUGGUUACACUAUCAGAAAAAAUAUUAAUAAUGUUUAUAAGUCAAUGGAUUGAGAUAUAUCAACGGAUUCCAAACCAAGAAUGGCAGCAAGGAAUAAGUCUCUCUUACACAAAUUUGUUGUUGACUCAUCUAAACUAUUUUUGGCAAGUCAACUGCAAUUUUUUACUAUUGCUGCAACUUUCAGCCAUGUUUGUUGUUGUCUUAGUUACAUCAAUCCUCCAACUUCAUCAUUCUUCCAUAUUAUUUGCAUUAUACCCCACGGGAGAGGUAAUAUGUCUCUCUUUUAGUACUAUAAUUGAUGCAUCUUUCAACGCAGUGGUUGUUGCAAUUUUUUAAAUUUCCUCUCCCCAAAAUUUUGUAAAACCUUGAAUAUUAUGAACUUAUUUGAAAUUUUUUGCAAAAUUUAUUAAAGAAAUUGAUUUCAUGCUAUAUGGAGUAUGGAAUAAGGCUAUAUAUGUCUCUUCAAAUUUUAAUACACUAAUGAAAGAAUAUUUUUUCCAUGUACAUUCUAUAUAUAUAUAUAUAUAUAAAAUAAAAAGAGGAUAGUCAGAAGGAUUCCAAUGUACGAAAGGGAACUAUUCACUAUAAGAAUAAUUGAGUAAAUACUUAAAGCAUGCUAAAUUUUUUUUAUAGAAUACUAAUUAAUUCUAAAGACUUAGGGUCCGGGUCAGGAUGUGUGUGACUUUUUUUUAUUUUUUAGUUUCAACUGUAAAUUUUUAAAACAAAUUGUAUUUGACAAAAAAUAAAACUAAAAUAGUUAAUUCAAUUUCAAAAUAUUUUUACCUUCAUUUUUAAAAUCAAGAAAAAUAUUAUUUUUAAUUUUAAAAAAGUACAGGCACUUUACAUUUGAUAAUAACACUUCUCACCACCAUCGCUAGCACCAGCACUUCUGUCACAACCACCACCACCACCGACACUGCACCUUCCCUACAAUCAUCACCAACAUCGUCGCCGUAACCACCAUUAGCACGAUCACCACCUCUGCCGAUACUAUUGUUGUUGUCAUCACCAUUGUCACCACCACGAGCACUAUUAUUGUCUUGACUGCCAACAUAUUACCAUCACCAUUACUACCAUCACUAUUGUCUUCACUUACAACAUUGUCACCAUCAUCACUAUUGCUACCAUCACUGUUGACACUAUUGUUGUCACACUAUUGUUAUUGCAAUCACCAUUAACACCGCUACCACGAUCACUACUACUACUACUACCAGCACAAUCAUCACUAGCCACCACUAUAAGCUAGCAGUACCAUUUGGCACUUAUUGUCACCAAUAAGUCACUAACAUUACUAUCACCACCAUUGAUACUAUCAUUAUUGUUGUUAACGUCAUCAUCACCAUAAAAACACACUCAUUUUAAUAGGAUUGAAAACUUUUAAAAUGAGUAUUUUAAAACUAAAAAUUAGAAAGCAACCAAACUUUAAAGACUAGUUUUAAAAACUUUUGUAACUAAAACUAAAAAUUGAUUGUUAUUUUUAAAAAUUUUAAACUUCCAAUUAAAAACCACCCAUACGGAUCCUUAACUAUUAUAUUAUGUAAUAUUAUCAUAUUACUUGUAUUUUAAAAAAAAGUAUAAUACUCAUUAAAAUGAAGUUGAUUGGUAAAAUAUCAAUUGUUUGGUGAAUUGUAUGACUUUGUCAUGACUUGGUUGAUUAUGUUUAGUGUGAUGUCUCUCCUCCUAACAAUAUUUUUUAUUCAUAAAAUUUGAGAUCAAGACCUUCUUUAAAGAAUUUGAGUCUGUUAUACUUGGAUUAAUAUAAUAUUGAUUAAAAGUUUGCAUAUUUGAUCUACUGAGUGAGAAUUUUCGAUAUAACAGUUGGAUUAAGAAAGAAUUGAUGUUCACAAAAAGAUUAUUAAACAAAGUAUAUUUAAAGAAACUUGCUUCUAGGAUGAGUAUAUUCACAUCCACAAAUAAAUAUUUGGAAAAAAAAUCCUUUGAUUUGUGUAUUCACCAUUGACUUUGAAUAUGUCAUGAUGUGGUCAUGGGAGUAAAGGAGGUGAAACUUAUCUAUUUCUUUAUCUUAUUGUAUCAUUGUUAUAUCGAAAGGGUCCAAUCUAAAUAUUAAUGCAACCUACUAACAACGGUGUCGAGAUAAGUUACCUAUAACUACUCACAACUUAGAACCAUGAUUUAUCUAUCAGUUGCUAAUCCAUAACUAUCAAGUUACAAACAAUAGAAUCAUCUUGAGAUUAAUUGUCAGCUAAGGAUCAGAUUCAGGCAAUUCUAGAAAAAAAAAAGUAUUUGGUAGAACCAGAGCAUGACCAAAUCUGAUUGUGUUUUUAUGUGUUAUCCAAAUCAUAAUUUGAAAAUUGCAGUGAGGAGAUGAGAAAUGGAACAAACAAAACGGUUUAGUUGCAGUUGAUGGUUAUUGCUUGGAAAGAAAAGUUUCUGAAACCAACAAAAAUUUGAAUUUGAUAUCGCUUUCUUUGCACAUAAAUAACAAAACGGUUUGGUAGCAGUUCCUUAGUAGAUUUUGUUGCUAUAUACCAUACAAAAUAUCUGUGUUUCCAAGAAUUAUGGGGCUCAUGUUUGGUUUUGAAAGUUCAGUAGCAACAUGUUUACAAACUAUCUCUUGAACUUCAUUUCUUGGAAAACCAGAGUAUAAAGAACAUUCAUACAUCAGAUUUGUGACAAAGUAAGGCCAAGCUCAACUAAACUAUGCUGUGUACUUUGAAUAACGCAGAAAGAAUUCCUUUGUUAACCAUCAUUUAGUGACACAAUUAACUUAAAUUUAGAAGAGACUAAUUUCAACCCACAAGAUGGAAAUGCAAGGACAAUGGGUUCUUGAAGUUAUUUGGAAACAAAGCAACACAACACAAUAGCUUAUUCAUUAGUUCUCAUCCAUUAAUUUCCAUUGAAGUCCGAAAACAGAAACCAAAAAUACAGGAUGAUGAAAUCUCAUAAAGCAAAAACAAAUGGGAAUGUAGUUUAAGUACAACAAACAAAGUGGGGUGGCUACAGAUGCUUUGCAAAUUUUUCAAUGACUUAGAAGCCUGGGGGCUUGUAGGCGAUGAAGCUGAUGCACUGCACUUGGCGAACGUUGUCAAAUCCAAUGAUACGGAUGAAGCCAUUGGGGUAUGCAGUCUUAGCCUCUUGAAGCUCCUUCAACACCUGAGAAGCAUCAGUGCAGCCAAACAUAGGCAGCUUCCACAUGGUCCAGUAGCGUCCAUCAUAGUAUCCAGGUGACCUGUUGUGCUCACGGUACACGAAACCGUGCUAUAUACAAACACAACAAACAUAUCAACCAUCAAAACUCAAAACCAAGUGCUUGUUUUGUAAUAAUAGGGACAGAUUUGAUCAAUAUUGAUAAGUCUGAGAUAGAAAAAUCCAUUAGAUAAACUUAAAUUUUGGAAAACAACCACUUCUCUUUUUUUUUUUUUUUUUUUUGUUUCCAAAAGUACUUUUAGCACGCCAGCAAGAGAAGCGAUUAUUUCUUCAAAAUAAGUUGAAACAAACUAAGACUAAGAAACUAUAAUUAAACCAAAAGGGGUUGCAAGAAAUUGACCUCCAACUCGAAUUCCAAGCAAGGAAUCCAUCCUUUCCUUAGAAGGUAUUCGACUUCCUUUGCCAAUUGGGCAUCAUCGAGGUCUGGCAAGUAGGAAAGAGUCUCGAACUUCUUCUUGCCAAUUGGUGGCCACACCUAGUAAUUUGCAUGAAAAGUUAGUUAACAAACAUGCACAUGUGCACAUUUUCCUAUGACUAACAUGUUAAUUUAAGUAACCUAUGACUAACAUGUUAAAUUAAGUAACAUUUUGGAGCAUAUAUAAAUGUGUAAGAUGAAUUUUAAACUUUUUGGUGCCUCUUGUGUGUAUAUAUGUGUGGAGUUGUCUUACCUGCAUGCAUUGUACUCUUCCACCGUUGCUAGCAAUGGAGGUAAUGUCAUUGUUGGUCUUCCUCGUGGGGAAGCCAGCCAUGGAUUUGAGGCCGGUGAAUGGAGCAACCAUGCCGGCACCGGCACGGUUGACGGUGG
rnacentral:lncRNA from 1 species